rnacentral:rRNA from 1 species
UACGUAGGGUGCAAGCGUUGUCCGGAAUUACUGGGCGUAAAGCGUGCGCAGGCGGUUCGCUAAGACAGAUGUGAAAUCCCCGGGCUUAACCUGGGAACUGCAUUUGUGACUGGCGGGCUAGAGUAUGGCAGAGGGGGGUAGAAUUCCACGUGUAGCAGUGAAAUGCGUAGAGAUGUGGAGGAAUACCGAUGGCGAAGGCAGGCCCCCUGGGCCA